rnacentral:rRNA from 1 species
UACGGAGGAUGCAAGCGUUAUCCGGAUUUAUUGGGUUUAAAGGGUGCGUAGGCGGCACGCCAAGUCAGCGGUGAAAUUUCCGGGCUCAACCCGGACUGUGCCGUUGAAACUGGCGAGCUAGAGUGCACAAGAGGCAGGCGGAAUGCGUGGUGUAGCGGUGAAAUGCAUAGAUAUCACGCAGAACCCCGAUUGCGAAGGCAGCCUGCUAGGGUGCGACAGACGCUGAGGCACGAAAGCGUGGGUAUCGA